CUGCUGCCUUCCGUAGGAGUCUGGUCCGUGUCUCAGUACCAGUGUGGGGGACCUUCCUCUCAGAACCCCUACGCAUCGUCGGUUAGGUGGGCCGUUACCCCGCCUACUGCCUAAUGCGCCGCAUGCCCAUCCCUGUCCGGCCGAAGCCUUUUCCUGCCUCCGGGAUGCCCCGGUGGCAUGUACGCGGGUUUAGCCCGCCUUUCGGCGGGUUGUCCCCCUGACAGGGGCAGGUUGCAUACGUGUUACUCACCCGUGCGCCGGUCGCCGGCGGAGAAAG
rnacentral:rRNA from 1 species